GCGCCCUUAGUUCAGUCCGGUGGAACGCGGGUCUCCAAAACCCGAUGUCGUAGGUUCAAAUCCUACAGGGCGUG
rnacentral:tRNA from 1 species